rnacentral:rRNA from 1 species
GCAAGUCGAAUGGGCUUAGACCCAUGGCAAACGAGGUAGUAACAGGUAGGUACCUGCCCCCCAGUCAAGGAUAACCUGGAGAAAUCCAGAAUAAUACUUGAUAGUCUAGCAAUAGUAAAGAUUUAUCGCUGGGGGAUGGGCCUGCUGAGUAUCAGCUUGUUGGUAGUGUAAUGGACUACCAAGGCUACGACGCUUAGAGGACCUGAGAGGGUGUUC